GCUAAUUCCGGCCAGCAGCCGCGGAACACGGAGCCCCGAGCGUUGUACGGAUUCAUUGGGCGUAAAGGGUGCGUAGGCGGCGCGGAAAGUCCGGCGUGAAAGGCAGAGGCUCAACCUCUGGACUGCGUUGGAUACUUCCGUGCUUGAGGACUGGAGGGGAGACUGGAAUUCACGGUGUAGCAGUGAAAUGCGUAGAUAUCGUGAGGAAGACCGGUGGCGAAGGCGAGUCUCUGGACAGAUCCUGACGCUGAGGCACGAAGGCUGGGGGAGCGAACAGGAUUAGAUACCCUGGUAGUCCCAGCAGUAAACGAUGUGAGCUUGAUGUGGGGGGAUUCGACCCCUUCCGUGUCGAAGCUAACGCGAUAAGCUCACCGCCUGAGGAGUACGGCCGCAAGGCUAAAACUCAAAGAAAUUGACGGGGACCCGCACAAGCGGUGGAGUAUGUGGCUUAAUUCGAUGCAACGCGAAGAACCUUACCUGGCCUUGACAUGCAUUGUGUCGUCGGUGAAAGCCGGCUAGUCCUGGAAACAGGACGCUUUGCACAGGUGCUGCAUGGCUGUCGUCAGCUCGUGUCGUGAGAUGUUGGGUUAAGUCCCGCAACGAGCGCAACCCUUGUGGUCAGUUACUAACCGGCUUAGCCGGAGGACUCUGGCCAGACUGCCCUGUCAAACGGGGAGGAAGGUGGGGACGACGUCAAGUCAGUAUGGCCCUUAUGGCCAGGGCUGCACACGUACUACAAUGCCCGGUACAAUGUGAACCGAAACCGCGAGGUGGAGGAAAUCGCUCUUGAAAACCGGGCCCAGUUCGGAUUGGAGUCUGUAACUCGACUCCAUGAAGUCGGAAUCGCUAGUAAUGGCGUAUCAGCAACGACGCCGUGAAUACGUUCCCGGGUCUUGUACACACCGCCCGUCACAUCAUGGAAGUCUCCUGUACCCGAAGCACGUGCGCCAGCCUUUUAGGAGGCAGCGUUCGAAGGUAUGGGACGAUCACUGGGAUGAAGUCGUAA
rnacentral:rRNA from 1 species